UUGGGAAUCUUAGGCAAUGGGCGAAAGCCUGACCUAGCGACGCCGCGUGAGGGAAGAAGGCCUUCGGGUCGUAAACCUCUGUCAUGGGGGACGAAGGAAGUGACGGUACCCCAAGAGGAAGCCCCUGCUAACUACGUGCCAGCAGCCGCGGUAAUACGUAGGGGGCGAGCGUUAUCCGGAAUUAUUGGGCGUAAAGGGCGAGUAGGCGGUCUGUUAAGUCAGGUGUGAAAUUUCAGGGCUCAACCCUGAAACCGCGCUUGAAACUGGCAGGCUAGAGGACAGGAGAGGGAAGUGGAAUUCCCGGUGUAGCGGUGGAAUGCGUAGAUAUCGGGAGGAACACCAGUGGCGAAGGCGGCUUCCUGGACUGUACCUGACGCUGAGGAGCGAAAGCUGGGGAGCA
rnacentral:rRNA from 1 species